AUUGAACGCUGGCGGCAGGCCUAAUACAUGCAAGUCGAACGGUAACAUAAAGAAGCUUGCUCUUUUGAUGACGAGUGGCGGACGGGUGAGUAAUAUUUGGGAAACUACCUGAUAGAGGGGGACAACAGUUGGAAACGACUGCUAAUACCGCAUAAGCCUGAGGGUGAAAGAUUUAUCGCUUAUGGAUGGACUCGCGUCAGAUUAGCUAGUUGGUGAGGUAACGGCUCACCAAGGCGACGAUCAGUAGCCGGUCUGAGAGGAUGAACGGCCACAUUGGGACUGAGAUACGGCCCAGACUCCUACGGGAGGCAGCAGUGGGGAAUAUUGGGCAAUGGGGGAAACCCUGACCCAGCAACGCCGCGUGAAGGAAGAAGGCCUUCGGGUUGUAAACUUCUUUUACCAGGGACGAAGAACGUGACGGUACCUGGAGAAAAAGCAACGGCUAACUACGUG
rnacentral:rRNA from 1 species